rnacentral:rRNA from 1 species
GACGAACGCUGGCGGUGUGCUUAACACAUGCAAGUCGAACGGUAAGGCCCUUUCGGGGGUACACGAGUGGCGAACGGGUGAGUAACACGUGAGUAACCUGCCCUCAUCUCUGGGAUAACAGUCGGAAACGGUUGCUAAUACUGGAUAUGAGCUUGCAAGGCAUCUUGUGGGUUGGAAAGAUUUUUUUGGUUGGGGAUGGACUCGCGGCCUAACAGCUUGUUGGUGAGGUAGUGGCUCACCAAGGCUUCGACGGGUAGCCGGCCUGAGAGGGCGACCGGCCACAUUGGGACUGAGAUACGGCCCAAACUCCUACGGGAGGCAGCAGUGGGGAAUAUUGCACAAUGGACGGAAGUCUGAUGCAGCAACGCCGCGUGCGGGAUGACGGCCUUCGGGUUGUAAACCGCUUUCAAUUGUGACGAAGCUUUUUGUGACGGUAGCAGUAGAAGAAGCACCGGCUAACUACGUG